UCACAUGGUGUUUACCAGAGGUGGUACCACUGAGUGGCUGUAUGGAUAGAGGAGAGGAACACAUGGUGUUUACCAGAGGUGGUACUGAGUGGCUGUAUGGAUAGAGGAGAGGAACACAUGGUGUUUACCAGAGGUGGUACUGAGUGGCUGUAUGGAUAGAGGAGAGGAACACAUGGUGUUUACCAGAGGUGGUACUGAGUGGCUGUAUGGAUAGAGGAGAGGAACACAUGGUGUUUACCAGAGGUGGUACUGAGUGGCUGUAUGGAUAGAGGAGAGGAACACAUGGUGUUUACCAGAGGUGGUACCACUGAGUGGCUGUAUGGAUAGAGGAGAGGAACACAUGGUGUUUACCAGAGGUGGUACCACUGAGUGGCUGUAUGGAUAGAGGAGAGGAACACAUGGUGUUUACCAGAGGUGGUACCACUGAGUGGCUGUAUGGAUAGAGGAGAG